GAUGAACGCUGGCGGCGUGCCUAAUACAUGCAAGUCGAGCGAACGGACGAGAAGCUUGCUUCUCUGAUGUUAGCGGCGGACGGGUGAGUAACACGUGGAUAACCUACCUAUAAGACUGGGAUAACUUCGGGAAACCGGAGCUAAUACCGGAUAAUAUUUUGAAACGCAUGGUUCAAAAGUGAAAGACGGUCUUGCUGUCACUUAUAGAUGGAUCCGCGCUGCAUUAGCUAGUUGGUAAGGUAACGGCUUAGCAAGGCAACGAUGCAUAGCCGACCUGAGAGGGUGAUCGGCCACACUGGAACUGAGACACGGUCCAGACUCCUACGGGAGGCAGCAGUAGGGAAUCUUCCGCAAUGGGCGAAAGCCUGACGGAGCAACGCCGCGUGAGUGAUGAAGGUCUUCGGAUCGUAAAACUCUGUUAUUAGGGAAGAACAUAUGUGUAAGUAACUGUGCACAUCUUGACGGUACCUAAUCAGAAAGCCACGGCUAACUACGUG
rnacentral:rRNA from 1 species